rnacentral:misc_RNA from 1 species
AAAAACAAUCAACCUUGGUUUUGGGGAAACCCUCGAUCUUGGCUUGGAUUUGGGUGUUUGCCAUCUUUGCGGGUGGCUCACCUUAAAUGAAUUAGCUGGACCUGUUUGUGAGGAAUGGUUCUACUCGGCGUAAUAAGUAUUUCGCUGAGGACAUGGCUUCGGCUGUGGCCUUCUUCUCGAACGCUCGUCUGCUUUCUAACCCUGCUCUCCUUUUGGAGAACAACUUUUUAUG